CAAACCACGCGCGCUCGUGGCGCCGCUACAGGGCUUCUCUGUCAGCGUGUCUGCGUGCGCGUCGUAUAUCGCUCGCUUCUCUGUGUACUCCUGCCAUCGCCUUUCCUUGCUUGUACCGCCUCGUUGGCUGCUCGAAGCCACCGACACCCUCUCGCAUCGCCGCAGCUGCGCCAAAAGCUGCAUCACAUACCACCAGCCAAAACGGCCGCAUCGACAGCGCCAACGUCCCUUGUCGCCGUCCGGCAUCCCCCCUCCCCCUCCGACAUCUUGUUGUUGGGUUGUACCGUGCCGUUCGCCGCCCACCACCUAACACCUCAAGACCGCCGACAGCUCAAUCGACGCAUCGCGGAGUGCAACGAAGCGAAGGGAACGCUAAGAGUAGGCGAGGCACCGCUGCCCUCUUCCGCCGUCCCCAGCCCCUCCUCCUCCUCCUCCCCUUCAUCAAAAAACACGCACAGAGAGAGCGACCCGCCUUGGCUUUCGGCAGCUUUGGGGGCUUUUCGAUCUUCGUGUGGCUUUCUUGUCUUCCAAUCCAUCUCCUGCCCGCUCCUCCGAGCCCCCUCCUUCGCCAUCCACACAACCCACGCCCGAAGCCAAGCCUCCAGCUUCUCACUAUACCCUUCCCCCAGGUCUCAGGAAGACGCUGCGCUAGUCGUGCUAGCGCCUUCCUCCCAUCACCAUCACUUCUUCGUGCUGCCGCUGCUCUGCUGCUUCUCCCGCUUUACUGUUCGCAUCCACCUCCUCUCUUACGUGGACAUCCUGUGCGGCCCCUCCCUCCCUGUUGGGGGCCACGGUACGACGUGACACCGACGUCCCUGCAACGGCGGAGAGGACACGCCUUCGAUCACGCAUACGCGCACACAGAGCGCCGCAACGUGUGCAGCAGUCGAGCAUGGCCGACACGCAGCCUGUCCCGGCGACGGUGACGUCCGCACACGGCGCCCAUGCAGAGGCGUUUGGCGAGUCUUUCAUCGUGACACUGAGCUCUGAAAACCUGCGCGUGCAGCUGCUGUCGCAUGGUGCGGCGCUAAACUCCGUUAAGGUGCGCAAACCGCACGCCGCAGCAUCGGCCACCACUGCGGCGUCGGCGACUGCAGAGCAGGACGAUGAAUGGUUGGAAGUGUGCCUCGGCUACACGAACCCGGAGGAGGCUCUCAGCGCCGAUGCGGUGGUCGGUCAUACUAUUGGACGAUACGCCGGGCGCAUCGCCAAUGGCGAGUUCGAGAUGGCGAACACGACGUAUACGCUCGCCAAAAACUUUGGCCCGCACAACCUCCACGGCGGCCCGGUCGGGUUUCAACACCAGGAAUGGAAGUACCUGUUGUCGGACGGCAGGGAUGAGACUGGUGUGGCGUUCCACCUCGUCUCACCGCACAUGGAUCAGGGCUUCCCCGGUGAACUCUUCGUGACGGCUACCUACAGCAUCAUUAAGUCAGCUCCAGUGCCCACCCUCAAGUGCGUGCUUCAAGCCUCGCUGUCGGACCACACGCCAGUGGACAUGACGGUGAUCAACCUGACGAACCAUGCGUACUGGAACCUGAACGGUGUUCCGCGACCAGCAGCGACGGAUGCGGUGGCGCCGCUGCCGCGAAACAUCGAGAACCACUACCUGCAGUUGCAGUCCAAGUACUUCGCCGUCACCGAUGAACUGAGUAUCCCACAUGGUGAUAUGCGUCCCGUCGAGGGUACCCCGCACGACUACUCGGCGCUGCGCUGCGUUGCCGAGGGAAUGGAGGCGACGAAGGAGGAAGGUCGCGACGGCGGCGGCUACGAUGACCUGGUCGCCCUUGAGACGUGGGACUCGACCCUGCGGGAGGCAGCGCUGGUGUACAGUCCCGCUACCAAGCUGCGCAUGCAGGUGUGCACCACGAACCCAGCCAUUGUUGUCUACACAGCGAACCACCUGCCUGCCAAUGCCUCCGGCGCAAAAGGGCAGCGCUUCCAGCGGCACAGUGCGAUCUGCCUGGAGUGUCAGUACUUCCCGAACAGCCCCAACGUGCGAGCCUUCCCAUCGACAGUGUUGAAGAAAGGCGAAGCGUACAACGAGACUACGACUCACGCGUUCCAGUUCAUGAACGCUGACAUCACUCCAGAGGAAAAGCUGCUGCGCCGUCAGUAACCCGUGCCGUCAUGCGUGGAAGUGCGUGUAUGGUCUGGAGCUCCGAGGUGAAAAAUAAACAGCGGCUAGAAAGAGGAGGGCGAGCCUCAGCUGCCUACCUUCACGUGCUGCUGGGCACGCGGAUGCCCCAUCCGCCCCUCCCUCGCGAAAAGCCUCGCGCUUGCGGUCCGUGUGCCCCCACCUGUGUAGUUUCACCUCCCCGCACCUCUCCGUGGCUCUCGAAAACGCAGCAGCACGCACUGUCCGUUGAUCCACUUUCUACAUCUCUCGUCUUGUUUCAUUGUUUUGCUAUGAUACACGUUGUACGAGCUCGGUCGCUUGCGUGGCAUACGCCUUAUCUAUGUGUUUGUGUAUGUGCGUGCAUUGAAUCCUCUCCUCCCUUAACACAGCACAGGAAAUAAGGGGCAAAAACGAUCUGUGGCACCGCCACAGGCGCACAUACGCGUAUACUUGAGGAAGCUGGCAGGGAAGGUGGAAGCCAGGAAGAGAACGGCGCAGAGAAGAAAUCACGAGCGCACGAGCGAGCGCAAGAGAGUGCGAGAUGGCUAAGCGGUGACGGCGGCAUGAUGGGGAGAGGGAGCGCAGCUCUGUGGUCGGCAGCGUGCCCCCUUUAGCUGCCUCCCUCCCUCUCGCCGCGUUGGUUGUUCUUUUCCCUCCCGCUGCCGUGUCUUCUCCUACCUACCCCCUCCCCCUUUUUUUACGGAUUAGUCGCUGCCCGUCAUCCGCGCGGCCUCCCCCUCCCCGAGGGAGUGCACGGACGGGAGCGCAACGGUGCUGCAGAGUGUCUGCGGGCAUUUUUUUUAUUUCCCCGCCCACCUCUCUUUCGCCUUGCUGUUGUUUGCUUUCCCUGGCUCUUCGCUGCUUUCUUCUGCCUUCUUGUGUGUCCUCUCAUGACAUGCGACACCUCUCCGUGCGUGGCGUCAGGGCCCGGCGCGCCUGCUCUCGGUGGGGGGUGGGGGCCGUGGGGCCCCCGCCACCCCUCCCAAUGCCGAGCCACCCCUGGUGGUGACAGGGUCGCGUGCCUACGACACGGCGAGGUCAGUGGGAGUCAUCGCUGCUGAUGUCGGCGGUGAGGUCCCAGAUGGCGGUGCGUGGGAGAGACCCGCGACAGCGAGCACACGCUUGUGCCAUCCACGUUAUGUGCAGAGUGCCAGCGCCACCCCUAAAGGUGCACAGGGUGGCGGCCGGCAUGAUGGAAGGAGCGGCUGUUAGGCGGGUGGUGGGUAGGGUUGGAGGCAUGGGUCGUGCUCAACUGACCGGGUCAGCGCGUGGCUGUGGCGCUUGUGUCCAGGGCUGCUUCGCACCACGCGAUGUGGUGGGGGGGGGGGCUUGCGACCAUCCAGGGGUGGCGCACUGCUGGAGCCGUGUUGUAUGGCAGAAUGGAAGCCUUUGCCUGAAGAAGAGACGUGUUGUCUGCGUAUCUUCCCUCUCGUGUGUUCAGGCGUUUCCAAGUUGAGUGUCUGUGCGUGUAUGUAUUCGCGUGUGUGUGUGCACGACUGCGGCUGCGAUUCGACCUUGUGUGCUCAACAAGGGCAAAGAACCAAACGGGGAAGUCGGGCCCUGCGAGUGCCAUGUGCGUUGGCGAGGUACCGACGUGGGAGG
rnacentral:misc_RNA from 1 species